UUUUGCGUAGGUGCUCGCUUCUUAGAGGGACUUCUGGUGACUAACCAGAGGAAGUUGGGGGCAAUAACAGGUCUGUGAUGCCCUUAGAUGUCCUGGGCCGCACGCGCGCUACACUGAUGCAUGCAACGAGUACUUCCUAAGUCGAGAGACUUGGGUAAUCUGUUGAACGUGCAUCGUGAUAGGGAUAGAUCAUUGCAAUUAUUGAUCUUGAACGAGGAAUUCCUAGUAAACGCGAGUCAUCAGCUCGCAUUGAUUACGUCCCUGCCCUUUGUACACACCGCCCGUCGCACCUACCGAUUGAAUCAUUCGGUGAGGAUUCUGGAUCCCGUUUUUAGCGCUUCACGGCGCUUUAUCCGAGAGAAAUUAUCCAAACCUCAUGAUUUAGAGGAAGGUGAAGUCGUAACAAGGUUUCCGUAGGUGAACCUGCGGAAGGAUCA
rnacentral:rRNA from 1 species